rnacentral:rRNA from 1 species
GAUGAACGCUGGCGGCGUGUCUAAUACAUGCAAGUCGAACGAACGGACGAGAAGCUUGCUUUUCUGAUGUUAGCGGCGGACGGGUGAGUAACACGUGGAUAACCUACCUAUAAGACUGGGAUAACUUCGGGAAACCGGAGCUAAUACCGGAUAAUAUUUUGAACCGCAUGGUUCAAAAGUGAAAGACGGUCUUGCUGUCACUUAUAGAUGGAUCCGCGCUGCAUUAGCUAGUUGGUAAGGUAACGGCUUACCAAGGCAACGAUGCAUAGCCGACCUGAGAGGGUGAUCGGCCACACUGGAACUGAGACACGGUCCAGACUCCUACGGGAGGCAGCAGUAGGGAAUCUUCCGCAAUGGGCGAAAGCCUGACGGAGCAACGCCGCGUGAGUGAUGAAGGUCUUCGGAUCGUAAAACUCUGUUAUUAGGGAAGAACAUAUGUGUAAGUAACUGUGCACAUCUUGACGGUACCUAAUCAGAAAGCCACGGCUAACUACGUG